rnacentral:tRNA from 1 species
GGGCGGUUAGCUCAGCCGGACAGAGCGCCAGCACGACACGCUGGAGGCCGCAGGUUCGACCCCUGCAUCGCCCA